rnacentral:rRNA from 1 species
UAACGGAUAUUGGGCAAUGGGCGCAAGCCUGACCCAGCGAUGCCGCGUGGAGGACGAAGCCCUUCGGGGUGUAAACUCCUGUCAGGGUUUACCAACACAAUGAGGAAACCCAGAGGAAGAGACGGCUAACUCUGUGCCAGCAGCCGCGGUAAUACAGAGGUCUCGAGCGUUAAUCGGAGUCACUGGGCUUAAAGGGUGCGUAGGCCGGCCUGUAAGUGCCUUGUGAAAUCCCAUGGCUUAACCAUGGAACUGCUUGGCAUACUGCAGGUCUUGAGGUCGGUAGGGGCAGCCGGAACUCUAGGUGGAGCGGUGAAAUGCGUAGAUAUCUAGAGGAACGCCGAGGGUGAAGACAGGCUGCUGGGCCGAUUCUGACGCUGAGGCACGAAAGCGUGGGGAGCAAACGGGAUUAGAUACCCCGGUAGUCCACGCCCUAAACGAUGUAGACUAGAUCGCGGAGGCUCUGACACCAUCGUGGUCGAAGCAAAAGUGAC